GAUGAACGCUGGCGGCGUGCCUAAUACAUGCAAGUCGAGCGAACAGACGAGGAGCUUGCUCCUCUGACGUUAGCGGCGGACGGGUGAGUAACACGUGGAUAACCUACCUAUAAGACUGGGAUAACUUCGGGAAACCGGAGCUAAUACCGGAUAAUAUAUUGAACCGCAUGGUUCAAUAGUGAAAGACGGUUUUGCCGUCACUUAUAGAUGGAUCCGCGCCGCAUUAGCUAGUUGGUAAGGUAACGGCUUACCAAGGCAACGAUGCGUAGCCGACCUGAGAGGGUGAUCGGCCACACUGGAACUGAGACACGGUCCAGACUCCUACGGGAGGCAGCAGUAGGGAAUCUUCCGCAAUGGGCGAAAGCCUGACGGAGCAACGCCGCGUGAGUGAUGAAGGUCUUCGGAUCGUAAAACUCUGUUAUUAGGGAAGAACAUAUGUGUAAGUAACUAUGCACGUCUUGACGGUACCUAAUCAGAAAGCCACGGCUAACUACGUG
rnacentral:rRNA from 1 species